rnacentral:rRNA from 1 species
UACGGAGGGUGCAAGCGUUGUUCGGAAUCAUUGGGCGUAAAGCGCGUGUAGGCGGCUUGGCAAGUCGGUUGUGAAAGCCCGGGGCCCAACCCCGGAACUGCAUCUGAAACUGCCUGGCUAGAGUCCCGGAGAGGAAGGCAGAAUUCCCGGUGUAGGGGUGAAAUCCGUAGAUAUCGGGAGGAAUACCAGCGGCGAAGGCGGCCUUCUGGACGGUGACUGACACUGAGACGCGAAAGCGUGGGGAGCAAACAGG